AUGAAACCAUGAGACAAUUGUUA
rnacentral:snRNA from 1 species